rnacentral:rRNA from 1 species
AUUGAACGCUAGCGGCAUGCCUUACACAUGCAAGUCGAACGGAGUGGCUAACGGGUGAGUAAUGUAUCGGAACGUGCCCAGUCGCGGGGGAUCACUACGCGAAAGCGUAGCUAAUACCGCAUACUAUUGGAGCGGCCGAUAUCGGCUUUGCUUGUUGGUGGGGUAACGGCUCACCAAGGCGACGAUGCGUAGCUGGUUUGAGAGGACGACCAGCCACAUUGGGACUGAGACACGGCCCAGACUCCUACGGGAGGCAGCAGUGGGGAAUUUUGGACAAUGGGGGAAAGCCUGAUCGAGCCAGCCCGCGUGUGCGAUGAAGGCCUUCGGGUCGUAAAGCACUGUUGUUGGGAAAGCGGUACCUGCAGAAUAAGCAACGGCUAACUACGUGCCAGCAGCCGCGGUAAUUC